rnacentral:piRNA from 1 species
UGACAGCAAAUGACCUACACAGGUGCAAGU